rnacentral:lncRNA from 1 species
UUCUCAGCGUCAUGUCCUGCUCCCACCAUCCCCCAUUCUCCAAAUGUAGUUAGGGACCCUGAGGCCAGAGAUUACGGAGACCCAGGAAAUCACCGCUGCCCCAGGUGGGUCCGGCAGAGACCGAGAGCGACUCCUGCAGCGAUCCUGAAAUCCUGCCUGGAGGGUCCUACUCUUCUCUGUCCAGGGUCACAACCACACUGGCCACCCAGGAGCCGAGACCCGGACUCCCCUCGCAGCCUUGGUUCUCUCGCCAGCGUCCCCACACACACCCCCCUUUUGCAGAGAGGGCGGCCGGAAGGGACAAACUGAAUCACUGUAAGAGGCCAAGUUGGGAAAGGCGUGGAUACCAGAUUCUGGGCUUCCGGAGAGCCCCAAGGUCCCCCUCCCGAACCCGCUGCGGCAGCCUGAGCAUUUAUGGUGAGAGGAAAUUGAGUCCGAGGCCAGGCUCAAGGAGUGAAAAGGGCAAGAACAGAAUUCUUACGCUUGGGCUUGGACAAAUGUGAAUACCCUGGGCCUGUGGACCCUGCCCUCUCCCUCCCUUCUCUAGGCCAAGCCAGACUUGUUUGGCUUGGCUGAGAACGACAACCCAGACGGCACCAUCUCCACUCCCCCUGCAGGUACCUCUGGGUCUGUGGGACCUGGCGUACGUUCCUUCUGAGAGCUGCCAGGUCUGAGAGGAGGCUGGGGGCAGUGCCAGGUCGGCUGCAGCCGCAGUGGAGCAAUCAGUUUGGGAGGCGACCAAGGCCCGCCCCGAUUGCUCUGUGGUAGGGCAGAGGAGCCUGAAUGGGAAGCCCCCACCGGGGACAUCGAGGACUAGUCGUUACUCCUCAGCCAGGAGGUUCCCCAAGGUGACACGGGCUGGCGGGGCUGAGUGGGGUGGUUGCGACGACGCUGGGUAUCCGGGCCAGCUUGUAGCUACUGCCUUGGCCAGUCAUCCCGGCCUCAGGACACCUGUCACGGCCCCCUCUGCCUUCCCAAGCCGAGGGCUACAAGGGCAGCUGGGGCGUACUCGGGCCGAAUUCUCCGGAGCAGCUCCGGGCAGAGCCGGGCCCGCCCCUUAGGGCUGCGGCACACGGGGCG